ensembl:snoRNA
GGCCUCUCAGCUCCGUUUAAUCACACAGGUCCAGUGUGUGGUUGGCCUGUUUUCUGGGAGGCAGAGGAAGGCUUUCCUAAUUACAAGAGACCUGCCCAGAAUGGCCUCUCCAUUUCUAGGAGUAUGAUCGCU